GUUCGUGACUAACCACGUAGUUAUGUCAGUUUUAUUGUCACGUAUAAUAGCCAGGUUCUUCUCACGCAAACUGCCUGUGUGAACAGCUUGACGUUUGUCUGCUGUUCAUAUAAAAAAGCAUUUUAAGUAAAAUUAACAAGAUGUUAAUUUUUACAUACAACAUAAGGGCUAGAAAUUUUGUCUGUUUAAUUGAGGUUUUAAUGUAUGUUGAUGUAUUAUAAAAUAAAUAAAAUAGCAUAUUUCUUAUGUUUCAGUAAAUCUGUUGGGGAAGAGCAUGAGGUAACAAACAAACAAGAACCUCCUCCUCAAACUGAUCAUCAUUCUAAAACUGUGCCUCCAACUCCAGCCGGAGAUAAAUGUUAUAUUGAACCACCCAGGAGUUUAUCACAACCUACUGAUUUGUCACAUAAAUUUAGAUUAAAGGGAACUAGAGUAGUUCGACCAGAAACUGAUCAAUCUGGAGAACCUAAACAAGAAACAAGUAUCAGUGACGCCCCACCGAUAUCUGCUCUUUCUUCAGUUCUUGAAACCGACGUCAGCACACCAUCUAGUGAGGGUGAAGAGCGUACUUCAGAUGUGUAGGAAUCAGUCUUAUUUCUAAGAUAUUGGAUUCUAUUUUUGUACAGGACGUCCAGUCCAGAUCAAGACUCAUUUCUGAGAAGACUGAAGUCUUCCUACCCAUCCUAGAUCCCAAUAGACAUACAUCUGAGUUCAUCUUGGGUUUUGCUGCAUGCUAUCAAAACAUGAAGUGCUUCCCAAAAGAAAGCAAGCAUGCAUUAUCAUCCCACUAUAAUAUGGUGGAAUUGAAAAAAUUCCAUGGAUCCUGGAGUUCACAAAAUGUUUAUUCAUAAAUCAUGCUUUUUUUCUACUCAGGGAGAUAGAACAAAAAUGCCCUUUGCCUUCCUCUCCUUGCUAAUAAUUAACUUUCAAUCCUAGCUUGCUGCUUGGUAAUGAUGAAAGUUUUCUGUGAUAAAAAUGAUGUCAGAAAAUGUGAGCACUCCCUUUCCUUACCAUUUCAUUCCAUUUUAUUUCUUUAUUCCGACAAUGUCGGUGCGGUGCUACAUAGAAAAGGAGUGAUAAUGCAGAGACACUUCCAGGGUCUGUUGCCUCCCAUCACUCUAAUAUAGAGGAGAAAUGUGCAAUCAUAACAAAUGAAAAUUACCAUUCUUAAACAUUGUGCAGUCAAUCCAUCCUAUGCCUAACUGUUUAGACAGUUUUAGAUAUUUAUGAAUGUAGUUCUUCAAUUUCUAUUAAUGAUACUAAGAUCUUGUUUGUUUAUUUUUUUUUGUGUUAUGUUUUCUUUUUGUUUAAAGCUUAAACAUAUGGAAGAGAAUUAGAAAUUUAGAUGCAAAGUAAAUUACUCAAGAAAAUAGGGCCAGUACUGCUAGAAAGCCUGUGCAUGCCUUAUCUGAGCACUCUUAUUGUAUUUGGCCUGUGAAAAGAAACUGUCACCAUUUAUAUUUAAGGAUUCAGCCGGUAGGGGGCUGAUAUUAUGAAGGGUCUUUUUUCAAAAAUGAUAAGAAAUAUUGCAUAUGAUGAUAUAUAUCUAUAUAUACUUUCAUUUCUUGGCAAUAUUUACUGCUCUAACCUAUCACAUUAGACUAACGUCCAAGAAUAAAUCAAGUUAUGAUUUUUCUUUCUAUAUGUUAAUAAGGGCAAAAUACAAACUUUGGACAGUCAGCAAAUGUGAUAAUUUCCAUUAUUUAAUUUAUUAGCAAUAUUGGGAAUUUUGCUCAUUGCAGUGACAUAUCACAAGAGUGUAUCAAUCCCAUAAAUAAGGAUAUCUUACUGUGAUUUUUUUAUGCAGACAUUUCUGUGACUGCAUAGCAGUUCCUAUUGAUGUUUUGCAUGAUAUCUCAAUGUUCAAAUCGAGCAAUAGAAGGGAUCAAUGCUAUGUAUAUAUAUGGAAUUGGUAUGAUGAUGAAUGUAAUUAAUUGGAUAUGUAUCAAAAAAUACAUAAAUUGGAGUUUAAGAUGAAUUAAUUUAUACAAUGUUCUUUGUAUUAUAUUAUAAACAUUACUUGUACAUAUUGUAAAUGUCAAAGUAUCAAAAAUGAUACCAAUUCAUUGCUGUUUGCCAUAUUCACGCAGGACAUCCUGAGAUGUGAAGUGCAGUCAACUCUUGAUUAUCAAAGAUAUUGUAGAGAGUAAGAUCUGAUGAAUUACUAGCAGCAUUGAAAAAACUCGUGUAUUGAAAUAAAUGAAGAGAGGUCUGAAAAAUUAAUUAUUGAAUAUUAAAAUUACAAACUUAUAGCAGUUUCAAAAUGGCACUGUAGACCAUUUUAUGAAUAUUGUUUGUAAAAAUUAGUUAUUUCGACUUUCGACAAUGCACUUGUCAAUAAUUAAGAGUUGACUGUAUAGUGCAAUUUUAACGAAGGGAUGAUAAAUGAAAAAUUGUCAUUUCCACAACUAAAAUCCUAAAGCACAUUUUAAGGAUCAAAUAUUUUGUCACUUGUUAUUUUGAAUCAAAUUUCAGUUAUACAUAUAAUUUAAUGAAGUUUUACAGGUUUUGUUAAUCAGAUAUUGUAUAGAACAUUUUCAAUUUCAUCUUCAAUGAAGAGAUUUAAAAUUCUCAUCUUUGUAAUUUUGCUAAUAAAGCCCUUAUAUUAGUAGCUUUUCCAAUUAAAAUAGACACUUAUUUAUUAAUAUUGAUGUCGUUGCUCCCUGCCGGCAGCAAAUGGACCGUUUGACAAAACGAGAUGAUUUUAAUUGUUAUGCACAAAGAUUUUAGCUAAUCAUCUAAGCCUUUCUUGUACAUAACUUAUACAUGCAUCAUAUGCUCUUUAUUCCCUGCCAAAUUUUUUACACAUUUUACCAUUUCUACAAAAACAUAAUUGAUUUGUAUUAAUUCGCAUAAAUUUUUAUUUCAUUACUUUCUUUUUUCCUCAGUUAUGACAAAGUAAAAAACUUUGUCCCUUAUAUUAAUAGUUACAGCUGCAUGAUUAAAGUUAUCAUAUAUACCCAACUAAAUAUUAAUACAAUAAAUACAUCUAUGCAAUGUU